AUGGGACAAAGUCUUCUCAGUGGCCUAGAGAGAUCAAACUACGUCCUUCCUGGCUAUCCACCCGUGAAGAAGCAAAAGCUUUUUUUGUUUUGUUUCAGUAGCUUUUUGAUUGUUCAUUGUUCAGGGGAGAAGGCUUUUCACAAUGCAUGCAUUGCUUAUAUUUGUCAUCUCCCAACUUUUUUUCUCUUUGUCUACUUUUAGAUCCACGAAGGAUAGCAAAUCUUAUUCUUCCCAGAAAGCUCAGGCAAAACAAACUGCUCCAGACUCUCCUGACUUGCCUGCUCUUCCUCAUUAAUCAUUUUUCCAUCUUGAUCACACCUGGAUGAUGCUUGGAGGAUAUGGCACUUUCUUAUAUUUUGGUCAGGAGUAGUCUGUCUACAUUUAGGCCAGGAUACUCUGUUAGCUCCAUGAAAGAUAGCAAGAGGCUGGGGUAUAUCCACAGGAGGAGGACUCAAGAUAAUAAGACAUAUGGAAAUUAGAUCAUAUGAGAAACAUUUGAGGGAUCUGGGUAUGUUUAACAUUGGAAAGCAACGGUUGAGGUGAUUUCUUAAAAUGUUGUGUCAAAAGCAUUACAUAAAUAAAUAAGUUUAAAACUGAUAAAAUAAAGGGAUCACAAGCAGCUAAACAGUUUUAGACCAAAAACGGGCAACAGCAACUGCAUUGUCUGCAGCUUUAAACAUUUCUUCCUCUGUGCAUGAGGCAGGGCAUUGUGGGCAAGCAUACAGAUGCUGAGUUGUUCAUUCUACUCCACAGUUGCACAAGGUAGAGGAUUCUUCUAGGUUGUGCCAUUUUGCCAGGUUGUCUUUUGAUCUGCCGACUCCACUUCUGAGUCGGUUCAGGGACUUCCAAGAUGCCCAUUCUUGGUUUUGCCCCUGGAGGAAGACCCUCACGGGAGCCAUCUAGUUGGGGGACCAUUCAGUCAGGAUUGCCCAAUUUUGCUGCCCAUAGGGACACUCUUGCUGUUGCUGGAGUAACAUUUAGAGGAGUGGUGGUUCUCAUGAAACUUUUCCUUGAUUUGAGUCUACUGGGUGGAGGCUGAUAGCCAUGCAGUGGGUGGCUUUCAUCGUGUUCAACCUUAUUUCUCUCACAAUUGGCAGCAACUUCCCACCUCACAUCGGGGGGGGGGGGAUGCCAAUUACCUUAUAGAGUCUAUCAACAGGUGUAGGUUUCAGACAUUCUGUUGAGAUGAUGUUAGCCAUCUUUAAAUAUCUGAAAAGUUGCUGGGUAGAAGAUGCAACAAGUUUGUUUUCUGUUGCUUCAGCAGAUAAGACAUGAAUCAACAGAUUCAAAUGAUUAGAAUUGAGAUGCCUACUAAACCU
rnacentral:lncRNA from 1 species